GACGAACGCUGGCGGCGUGCCUAAUACAUGCAAGUCGAACGCUUUACUUUUCACCGGAGCUUGCUCCACCGAAAAGUAAAGAGUGGCGGACGGGUGAGUAACACGUGGGCAACCUGCCCAACAGAGGGGGAUAACACUUGGAAACAGGUGCUAAUACCGCAUAAUUUGUUUUCCCGCAUGGGAGAAUAAUAAAAGACGCCUUACGGUGUCACUGUUGGAUGGGCCCGCGCUGCAUUAGUUAGUUGGUGGGG
rnacentral:rRNA from 1 species